rnacentral:rRNA from 1 species
ACUCUUCGGAGUUAGUGGCGGACGGGUGAGUAACACGUGGGAACGUGCCUUUUGGUUCGGAAUAGCUCCUGGAAACGGGUGGUAAUGCCGAAUGUGCCCUUCGGGGGAAAGAUUUAUCGCCAUUAGAGCGGCCCGCGUCUGAUUAGCUAGUUGGUGAGGUAAAGGCUCACCAAGGCUACGAUCAGUAGCUGGUCUGAGAGGAUGACCAGCCACAUUGGGACUGAGACACGGCCCAAACUCCUACGGGAGGCAGCAGUGGGGAAUCUUGCGCAAUGGGCGAAAGCCUGACGCAGCCAUGCCGCGUGUAUGAUGAAGGUCUUAGGAUUGUAAAAUACUUUCACCGGUGAAGAUAAUGACUGUAGCCGGAGAAGAAGCCCCGGCUAACUUCGUGCCAGCAGCCGCGGUAAUACGAAGGGGGCUAGCGUUGCUCGGAAUUACUGGGCGUAAAGGGAGCGUAGGCGGACAUUUAAGUCAGGGGUGAAAUCCCAGAGCUCAACUCUGGAACUGCCUUUGAUACUGGGUGUCUUGAGUGUGAGAGAGGUAUGUGGAACUCCGAGUGUAGAGGUGAAAUUCGUAGAUAUUCGGAAGAACACCAGUGGCGAAGGCGACAUACUGGCUCAUUACUGACGCUGAGGCUCGAAAGCGUGGGGAGCAAACAGGAUUAGAUACCC